rnacentral:tRNA from 1 species
GCCGGGAUGGUCUAAUCGGUUAAGGCGUCGCCCCGGAUUGGCGAAGGUUGCGGGUUCAAUCCCUGCUCCUGGCC